ensembl:lncRNA
UUCUCUUUCCCCUCCAUGAAACACAACAUCUGGUCAAGCCUUGUUUGUCUCAAAACUAAGAAAGACAACACUAUAAACAAGCUGGAGACAACACGGGCAUUGAAAUCAGGAGAGCUGUAUUAAUGUAUGUCAUCAGAUUUGGUCCUGAGGAUGUUCCAGGAAGGCUGGAUGCAGAGAGGCUGAGCUGGAGAACCAUUCAGCCUUGGCAGAUGAAAUAUUUCCAAAAUCUUCAUCAACUACACCUGUGCAAAACCACAAAAGGGACAAAGGCUUCAACACAAGAAGGCACUAAAACACUGCAGUUCUUCACCAUCAGCCUAAAAGACGCUUAGUUUCUGAUUUUCCAGAAAGACAUACUGCAUAAGUUAACAUAAGCAAAAGGAUUACAUGGAGAAGAGGACCUAUAAAGCAGAAUGUGUUCAUACUGUCUGUGUCAACAUUUAUUCUGCCAAACUAAAGGGACACUUGGCUAUGACUGAAGAAUUAAUAUACUCCUUCUUUUAAACAGAUACUUCUUCACAGGAUGACUGAAAAACAAAGCCUUAGGGUCCUGUUGUAAUUUGCAGGGACUUGUGUCUUUAAGGGAUAUGUCAAGUUUAAAACCUUAGCAUAUCCUUAUUGCUUUACUAUGUGCAUUUUUUUUCCUUUUUAUUUCCCCUGCCUUUUAUAGAGAUCAGUGGUGUUUGUCUUGUCUUUGAACUCUCUGGUUUCAAGUUCAUAUGGUUGUCUUUCAUCUAUGCAGACAAAGGCAGCAUUAAACUUGUGCCUCAGCAGCAGAUUUCUGGCAGAAAAGCAGGUUUGUGAUUUCAUUGAAGACCAUUGGGGAGCUUGUGAGCUGAAGGCCAG